rnacentral:antisense_RNA from 1 species
GCGGCCGCAGCUCCCCGCCCGGGACCGCGCACAAAGGCCUGAGGUCCGGGCCGCACUCACCGAAGUCCAGGAACUGCUUCAUGGAGAGCGGGGACGGCGAGAAGCGCGCGUAGAAGUCCACCUGGCCCGGAACGCCGCGCUCGGACGCCGGGCUGGAGUCCGAGUCCGAGCUGAAGCUGCGGCUGGGGCCGGCGGCGCGCAGCCCCGGGCCCGGGCCGGCCAAGGCGGCUCCGCGAAGCAGCCGCGCCAGCCUCAUGCCGAGUCCCGCUAGAGAAGCCACAGCCCGGGCUCCAGGUUUCCCCGCUCCUCUGCCGAGUGGGUCAGAGAGCUUCAGGAGUCCCCGCUUGCCAAACAGUGGUACGUAAAUACGAAUGCUGAACACUGGGACGUGUGGCCCUAAAUAGUAUCACCGCGACGGCGGCCCCAGGAGAAGAGAUGUACUGACUGUGCCUUUGAGUGAG